rnacentral:rRNA from 1 species
GACGAACGCUGGCGGCGUGCUUAAUACAUGCAAGUCGAACGGAAAGGCCCUGAUUUUGUGGGGUGCUCGUUUGGCGAACGGGUGAGUAACACGUGAGUAACCUGCCCUUGACUUUGGGAUAACUUCAGGAAACUGGGGCUAAUACCGGGGAGGAGCUCCUGCUGCAUGUGGGUGGUUGGAAAGUUUCGGCGGUUGGGGAUGGACUCGCGGGUUAUCAGCUUGUUGGGGGGGUUGUGGCUUACAAAGUUUUUGAGGGGUAGCCGGCCUGGGAGGGUGGCCGGGCACCAGGGUCCUAAGAGACGGCGCAGUCUCCAACGGGAGGCAGCAGGGGGGAAUAUUGCACAACGGGGGGAAGCCUGAUGCAGAAGCGCUGCGUGCGGGAUGACGGCCUUCGGGUUGUAAACCGCUUUCGCAUGUGACGAAGCGUGAGUGACGGUAAUGGGUAAAGAAGCACCGGCUAACUACGUG